CACGUAGGGUGCGAGCGUUGUCCGGAAUUAUUGGGCGGAAAGAGCUCGUAGGCGGUGUGUCGCGUCGGCCGUGAAAACCUGCAGCUUAACUGUGGGCGUGCGGUCGAUACGGGCAUCACUGGAGUUCGGCAGGGGAGACUGGAAUUCCUGGUGUAGCGGUGAAAUGCGCAGAUAUCAGUCGGAACACCGGUGGCGAAGGCGGCUUCUUGGGCCGUUCCUGACGCUGAUGCGCGAAAGCUGGGGGAGCGAACGGG
rnacentral:rRNA from 1 species